UUUAGCAUUGCUUAGCAUUUCUAGAGCCAUUGCUCAGGGUAGCCUGACACCCUAUCCUAGUAAUAGCUUAGGCUUGCAUUUAAGCAGUGCUGGUUAGGCGCCACCAUUUCUAGAUACUUGUCACAUCUUACUCUAGCCGGUGUGCAUUAAGUUUUGCCAACAAUGCAUGCACGGUCCCCGUCUCCGGGACCAACUGAAUCGUCCACAGAAUGAAACCCCAC
rnacentral:lncRNA from 1 species